GUCUCGGUGGUGUAGUGGUAGCACGCGUCUCGGUAUGGGUGAAACGUGGAUUCAACUCCCAUCUGAGGCC